CUGAGCUCUCCCUUGAUUCCAAAAGUGCGUGUCCUCGGAACCGGAGAGUAUAAAGCGAAAUUCUUUGCGCACCGCGUGCGGUGAUUGAAUUACGCACGGAGCCGGAGAGACGCCGGAAAAAAAAAAUCGGACUCCAUGCAUGAUAUAAUCAUCACACAUGGUGCGUGAUUCUCUGCACCGCAUGCGGUGCACAAAGAAUUGCUUAAGUGUAAAACA
rnacentral:lncRNA from 1 species